rnacentral:lncRNA from 1 species
AAAAUUCUGAUCAAAUCGUUUUUGCGAAGCCAAUGAUUUAUGUAUUUAAAAAGCUUCAUUUCUGAGUUUCACCACCACUUCUUCUACUUAACUUGUGGCAUUUCGAUUUGAUAACAAUCUUCUGAUGAUUCAUCAAUUUUCUUUGCUUGGUAACCGUGAUCAUGGAAAAUCUUUGAUGAAAUUAUGGAAUCAUAGUAUUUGGAUUGUUCAGAAUUAUGUUCCUUAUAGUUUCUGGAAAUGAUUCCAAUAAAUAAUUGAGGUGGAGUCGGAAUUGCUUCAAAUACGAGCUUAAGUUCAAUCUUCUCAAAUUUAACGCUUUAACUGUAUACAUGGAAUGCAUCUAAAUUAUCUGGCAUGCCUUUGGAUAUUGAUAUUGGCCCUGUCACGGAGAGAAGUCUAAAAAUAUUUGAUAUGUUAGUCAGUCACCCUUUAUCUACUACAAGUGGAUAUUCUGCAAUUGUGAUGCCUUACCAAUAUUUUGUUUUAUUUAUCUUUCAAUUGCAGAUCCACUAUUGAAAAUUAAGAAGAAAACUUUUACAUGCUGUUAGAAUAUUUUUUGGGGAUAUUUUUCUUUGAGUUGCUUUUAUUUUAUUGUGGAGAGAACCAAUAGGAUUCUGGAUUUUUGGCAUUCACAUGGUCCAUUCCAUAGUCCAAUCCUUUAACUAUUUUUGCUUCUACCACAAUAGACUGUAAUUUUUAGAAAUAUUACAUACAACUUACGUUCGUACGUUUUGCCAGUACUUUGGUCAUUUGAUUAAUGGUACAUGUGGAAUGGAAUAAAUUCCUACAAAUGUAUGUCCAUGCACUUAUUUUCUGCAUAAAUGGCUAAUCCAUCUUAUUACGAUUUCCAAAUUUUUUUUGAAGCAGGAAUUGAAAACGGGAAGAUGACGGUAUCCAUUAUUUGGCGUCUUUAGGCACCUCCAUAUAUGAAUCAAGUGAUGUUGGAUAUGUAUAUAUCUCCAUAUAUGUGUUGGAAGUCCGUUGGAUAUGAUUCUAUUAAUUGAUGUUUGUUAAUAAUCAGUGGAAGAAAUAAUAUUACUAGUAAAUCACCCACUUCAAAAUUUGGUGAGAGAAAUAAUGCAACAAGUAAGUUAUCCAAGACAGUUUCAUCAAGUUCACAUUCUGUUUUAAUAUCUCGUAGUCAUUAUCCUAUAAUGAAAUCUCCAAUAAGCACAUCUCCCUCAUCAAUUCCUUGAGCUGCAAAUUGUUGUUGCCUUAUGAUAAAGUCACAUACAAGCAUUUUGUUGAAAUCAAUCACAGUCAUCUUUUAUCUCACUAUUUUUGUUCUUAUUUUAUAUUAUGGAAAAGAGAGAAAAAGUAAAAUAAAAUGGAACAGGGUUGGGAAAAACUUCCGAAC